GCAAAGUCAGGUCUACUAAUAUUCGAAACAUAGGUUUGCAAAUAUAUACACUCGAGCCAAUGGUGCAAAGAUAACAUAGUUGCUAUACUUGUGCCGUGCAAAUAUUGCUAAUGGUUACUCUUAGAGAUUGGAAACCUUUCUACAUCGUGAACCUUAUUCCAGAUUAUACCGACGUCCCGACGACGGGAUAGUGAUUUGUAUGCUGUCAGCGCCUUCCCCCAAUGUUGAAAAUAUGUUUGCAUAACACUCAGAGACAUGUUGGUAAUCAAACAAUGCAAUGUGCUGAUUAAUGUUGAUGUGAGUGCGACAACGUUGAGUUCCCUGUUGUUUUAAUAAAAGAAAGUUAUGA